rnacentral:lncRNA from 1 species
AUCCUAGAGACCCUUCUAAACUAUUCUUUGAAAUAAAAAGAUGCUAAGAACCUAAGAACAAUUAGCAUAAAAAUAUGCAUUUAGACCUAGACGUAUUGGGUAAGCCUAAUUAGCUAGGGGAGAGACGAAAAAUACGCACAAAAAUAACGCCCAGUAAGCAUCGUUCUUCACACAAAGAGACCCAUCAGCUUUUUCUUCCUCCUUCUUCAUUUUGAACACCCAUCGAGACCCCUCUUCUCCAAGACCAGCAUCUCCAGACCUCCACACCAAAUAACCACCCUUAAUUCCUCCAUAGCCACAUCCAUAUCACUCUCUCUGAAGCAGUAGGUCGAACUCCCCAAGCUUCCCUCACCAGUCGCCGGAUUCGAUCACCAGUAGGUUUGGUCGACCAUUCACGACCAGUCGUUGAACACACACACAUACAGAGCAGAGAGAACGAACAGAAAAUCGGGACGGAGGGAGAGGAUUUUUGGCUGGAUUUAUUUGUCACAAAAAUGGAAUUUGACUGAGAUUUGGGUUUGAGUUCGUGUUCGAUUCAAGAUUCGUGGUGCCGUGUCGAGUUCCCAGCUGUUGAUCGAGGUUCCAGUCUAAUUUCUGCUCGUGUUUGCUAAACUUCCGCCCUAUUUGUUGUGUUUUUUCUUGGGCUCUUUCAAUUGUUUGUAGCCCAACCACGUAUUCAACUAUGAAUUCAAGUUUUACUUGGACAUAAUAUGAACCAUGUCUUUUAUUCCUCUCCAUGAUAUUUCGAUACAUUUGUUAUCUUUAUACGAUUGAAUCCUUUACUGAGUAAUUUGUAUGUUAGAAUAUUUAAACCUGUUUAGGUUAAAUCAGUGUCGUCAAAUUCUGGUGGGGGAAUUACAGAUGUAUCGAAUUUGUGAAGAAUGCUUGGUUGUGGUCAAUAGAGUGGCUGUGAUGUGCUUAAGGAUAGAUGUGCUGAAAUUUUUGAAAAAAGUUCGAGUUAUAAAUAAACUUGGACUACAUCAUUUUGACUUAAUUGAUUUGAACGAAUUCGACUAGCGUGCUUAGUUUGAUUUUCGAGUAUUGAGCUGAAAUUUGUUCUCAAUUUGUUGUUGCCGUUUGUGAAUCUCAGCCCUUGAUAGAGUUUAUUAGUUGUUAACGUCCUUGUAUCUACUGAAUUCUGGUCUGAACUCUUUUGUGAUGCUGAACAUUUUUAAUUGGCUUUUUGAUCUGG